rnacentral:rRNA from 1 species
ACGGGGAGGAGCCCAGAGCCUGAAUCAGUGUGUGUGUUAGUGGAAGCGUCUGGAAAGGCGCGCGAUACAGGGUGACAGCCCCGUACACAAAAAUGCACAUGCUGUGAGCUCGAUGAGUAGGGCGGGACACGUGGUAUCCUGUCUGAAUAUGGGGGGACCAUCCUCCAAGGCUAAAUACUCCUGACUGACCGAUAGUGAACCAGUACCGUGAGGGAAAGGCGAAAAGAACCCCGGCGAGGGGAGUGAAAAAGAACCUGAAACCGUGUACGUACAAGCAGUGGGAGCACAGAGCAAUCUGUGUGACUGCGUACCUUUUGUAUAAUGGGUCAGCGACUUAUAUUCUGUAGCAAGGUUAACCGAAUAGGGGAGCCGAAGGGAAACCGAGUCUUAACUGGGCGUUAAGUUGCAGGGUAUAGACCCGAAACCCGGUGAUCUAGCCAUGGGCAGGUUGAAGGUUGGGUAACACUAACUGGAGGACCGAACCGACUAAUGUUGAAAAAUUAGCGGAUGACUUGUGGCUGGGGGUGAAAGGCCAAUCAAACCGGGAGAUAGCUGGUUCUCCCCGAAAGCUAUUUAGGUAGCGCCUCGUGAAUUCAUCUCCGGGGGUAGAGCACUGUUUCGGCAAGGGGGUCAUCCCGACUUACCAACCCGAUGCAAACUGCGAAUACCGGAGAAUGUUAUCACGGGAGACACACGGCGGGUGCUAACGUCCGUCGUGAAGAGGGAAACAACCCAGACCGCCAGCUAAGGUCCCAAAGUCAUGGUUAAGUGGGAAACGAUGUGGGAAGGCCCAGACAGCCAGGAUGUUGGCUUAGAAGCAGCCAUCAUUUAAAGAAAGCGUAAUAGCUCACUGGUCGAGUCGGCCUGCGCGGAAGAUGUAACGGGGCUAAACCAUGCACCGAAGCUGCGGCAGCGACACUAUGUGUUGUUGGGUAGGGGAGCGUUCUGUAAGCCUGUGAAGGUGUGCUGUGAGGCAUGCUGGAGGUAUCAGAAGUGCGAAUGCUGACAUAAGUAACGAUAAAGCGGGUGAAAAGCCCGCUCGCCGGAAGACCAAGGGUUCCUGUCCAACGUUAAUCGGGGCAGGGUGAGUCGACCCCUAAGGCGAGGCCGAAAGGCGUAGUCGAUGGGAAACAGGUUAAUAUUCCUGUACUUGGUGUUACUGCGAAGGGGGGACGGAGAAGGCUAUGUUGGCCGGGCGACGGUUGUCCCGGUUUAAGCGUGUAGGCUGGUUUUCCAGGCAAAUCCGGAAAAUCAAGGCUGAGGCGUGAUGACGAGGCACUACGGUGCUGAAGCAACAAAUGCCCUGCUUCCAGGAAAAGCCUCUAAGCAUCAGGUAACAUCAAAUCGUACCCCAAACCGACACAGGUGGUCAGGUAGAGAAUACCAAGGCGCUUGAGAGAACUCGGGUGAAGGAACUAGGCAAAAUGGUGCCGUAACUUCGGGAGAAGGCACGCUGAUAUGUAGGUGAAGCGACUUGCUCGUGGAGCUGAAAUCAGUCGAAGAUACCAGCUGGCUGCAACUGUUUAUUAAAAACACAGCACUGUGCAAACACGAAAGUGGACGUAUACGGUGUGACGCCUGCCCGGUGCCGGAAGGUUAAUUGAUGGGGUCAGCGCAAGCGAAGCUCUUGAUCGAAGCCCCGGUAAACGGCGGCCGUAACUAUAACGGUCCUAAGGUAGCGAAAUUCCUUGUCGGGUAAGUUCCGACCUGCACGAAUGGCGUAAUGAUGGCCAGGCUGUCUCCACCCGAGACUCAGUGAAAUUGAACUCGCUGUGAAGAUGCAGUGUACCCGCGGCAAGACGGAAAGACCCCGUGAACCUUUACUAUAGCUUGACACUGAACAUUGAGCCUUGAUGUGUAGGAUAGGUGGGAGGCUUUGAAGUGUGGACGCCAGUCUGCAUGGAGCCGACCUUGAAAUACCACCCUUUAAUGUUUGAUGUUCUAACGUUGACCCGUAAUCCGGGUUGCGGACAGUGUCUGGUGGGUAGUUUGACUGGGGCGGUCUCCUCCUAAAGAGUAACGGAGGAGCACGAAGGUUGGCUAAUCCUGGUCGGACAUCAGGAGGUUAGUGCAAUGGCAUAAGCCAGCUUGACUGCGAGCGUGACGGCGCGAGCAGGUGCGAAAGCAGGUCAUAGUGAUCCGGUGGUUCUGAAUGGAAGGGCCAUCGCUCAACGGAUAAAAGGUACUCCGGGGAUAACAGGCUGAUACCGCCCAAGAGUUCAUAUCGACGGCGGUGUUUGGCACCUCGAUGUCGGCUCAUCACAUCCUGGGGCUGAAGUAGGUCCCAAGGGUAUGGCUGUUCGCCAUUUAAAGUGGUACGCGAGCUGGGUUUAGAACGUCGUGAGACAG